rfam:Lactobacillus reuteri DSM 20016, complete genome.
AUUCGAUGAAGAGGUUGCAUAUUUUAUUAGUAACUGAUAUUAGGUGAAUAAGCACCGGAGUAUUAGUGAAAGGGAAAUAUGCCGAAACACUACUUAGCUUAUUUCUGGUAGGUGUUGGGCUAUAGUCAUAAUAGGCUAUAGACUGUCGCAAUAAUUGCGGGGCGCUUCCUAAAUU